rnacentral:rRNA from 1 species
CAAUAGCGUAUAUUAAAGUUGUUGCAGUUAAAAAGCUCGUAGUUGGAUUUCUGAGAGGAUGCCAAUGUCCUUCUGUUUAAGUGUGCAGCGGCGUCUUUUCAUCCUUCUGUUAACACCUCUUGGCAUUCGUUUGCUGGUGGUGGGCUCAGAUAUUUUACCUUGAGAAAAUUAGAGUGUUUCAGGCAGGCUAGGCCGGAAUACAUUAGCAUGGAAUAAUGGAAUAGGACUACGGUCUCUUUGUUGGUUUGAGGGACUGCAGUAAUGAUUAAUAGGGAUAGUUGGGGGCAUUAGUAUUUAAUUGUCAGAGGUGGAAUUCUCGGAUUUGUUAAAGACUAACUUAUGCGAAAGCAUUUGCCAAGGAUGUUUUCAUUAA